rnacentral:rRNA from 1 species
AUUGAACGCUGGCGGCAGGCCUAACACAUGCAAGUCGAACGGUAACAGGAAGAAGCUUGCUUCUUUGCUGACGAGUGGCGGACGGGUGAGUAAUGUCUGGGAAACUGCCUGAUGGAGGGGGAUAACUACUGGAAACGGUAGCUAAUACCGCAUAACGUCGCAAGCCCAAAGAGGGGGACCUUCGGGCCUCUUGCCAUCUGAUGUGCCCAGAUGGGAUUAGCUAGUAGGUGGGGUAACGGCUCACCUAGGCGACGAUCCCUAGCUGGUCUGAGAGGAUGACCAGCCACACUGGAACUGAGACACGGUCCAGACUCCUACGGGAGGAAGCAGUGGGGAAUAUUGGACAAUGGGCGCAAGCCUGAUGCAGCCAUGCCGCGUGGAUGAAGAAGGCCUUCGGGUUGUAAAGUACUUUCAGCGGGGAGGAAGGGAGUAAAGUUAAUACCUUUGCUCAUUGACGUUACCCGCAGAAGAAGCACCGGCUAACUCCGUG